rnacentral:rRNA from 1 species
UACGGAGGAUGCAAGCGUUAUCCGGAAUUAUUGGGCGUAAAGCGUCCGCAGGUGGUUGAACAAGUCUGCUGUCAAAGCGCGGAGCUUAACUCCGUACAGGCGGUGGAAACUGUUGAACUGGAGUACGGUAGGGGUAGCGGGAAUUCCCAGUGUAGCGGUGAAAUGCGUAGAUAUUGGGAAGAACAUCGGUGGCGAAAGCGCUCUACUGGACCGCAACUGACACUCAGGGACGAAAGCUAGGGGAGCGAAUGGG